AAAAACCAACUGCAAGGCCAGGCGCGGUGGCUCACGCCUGUAAUCCCAGCACUUUGGGAGGCCAAGGCGGGAGGAUCACCUGAGGUCAGGAGUUCGAGACCAACCUGGCCAACAUGGUGAAACCCUGACUCUACUAAAAAUACAAAAAUUAGCCAGGCGUGAUGGUGGGUGCCUGUAAUCCCAGCUACUCGGGAGGCUGAGGCAGGAGAAUUGCUUAAACCUGGGAGGCGGAGGUUGCAGUGAGCCAAGAUCAUGCCACUGCACUCCAGCCUGGGCGAAAGAGCAAGACUUUGUCUAAAAAAAAUAACCCAACUGCAGUCACCUCCCUGAGAAGCAGCCUUAUAUGGAGCACAAAGACCUUGCUUUGCAACAGACGCUGCUCAGGCUGGCUGGAUAUGGCCCACAGGAAUCUUUUAAUUGGCCUACAUGUACUUUGAAAAAAAAGGUUCCCAAAAGGAGCUGUUGAACUUGACUCAGCAGGAUUACGUGAACCGCAUAGAGGAGCUCAACCAAUCGCUGAAGGAUGCCUGGGCCUCAGACC
rnacentral:lncRNA from 10 species